rnacentral:rRNA from 1 species
GUAGGGAAUAUUGGGCAAUGGAUGCAAGCCUGAUCCAGCCAUGCCGCGUGCAGGAUGAAGGCCUUCGGGUUGUAAACUGCUUUUGUACGGAACGAAACGGCUCUUUCUAAUAAAGAGGGCUAAUGACGGUACCGUAAGAAUAAGCACCGGCUAACUACGUGCCAGCAGCCGCGGUAAUACGUAGGGUGCAAGCGUUAAUCGGAAUUACUGGGCGUAAAGCGUGCGCAGGCGGUUUUGUAAGACAGGCGUGAAAUCCCCGGGCUCAACCUGGGAAUUGCGCUUGUGACUGCAAGGCUGGAGUGCGGCAGAGGGGGAUGGAAUUCCGCGUGUAGCAGUGAAAUGCGUAGAUAUGCGGAGGAACACCGAUGGCGAAGGCAAUCCCCUGGGCCUGCACUGACGCUCAUGCACGAAAGCGUGGGGAGCAAACAGGAUUAGAAACCCGAGUAGUCC